GCAUGAUGGUGUCCCCUUGGCAUGAGGCGCGGCUGGUGCAGACUCAGCACCCAGUAAACACCUAAGGCAGUGCAUGAGUGGCCCUUAUAAAAUGGCAUAGGUGGCCCACUGUCAGGCCAGUGUGUCAGAGACAGCCUCGCACACUGACAGAUGGGGGACACGGGACUACUUGGGGUGUCCUAGGAGAACAACGAUCAAUCCAACAGAAGAGUCAGAGGAUGCUCAGACUUCAGAAAAUUUGAAAAGGUUCUGCUGUCGUUGGGACAGGCAUUCAUUAUUCUGUUUAAAUCAAGUCAGAGGAAAGUGUCCUACAUAUCCUCCCAAUCUCCCACAAACACAGGCCCAUCUGGCAUCCAAAGACAGACGCACAGCCUCCGUGUGACCUGUCACAUCAGCAUGGCUUCGGCAUGUGGUGCCGAUUGCGGGCUCACCAUCUCCUCUUCCCACACCUCGUGCCAGGUUUCUCCAGGAAAACCAUACCAGGCUGCCCUCCAUCAAGGAAUCCUUGGAUAUUCCUAUUUACCUGGUGUCUCACCAGCAUCUCUGUUGUUACCACGACUGGAUAUCUGCGUUGCUCUGUGCUUCAUUACGAGUGAGUUCCAUGAGUAAAGAACGGUCACUGAUUUCAUUCGUUCACUUUAAUUUCAACUGUUGUGAACUGUGAACUUUCUCGGCCACUUUUUAGAGAAUUUUAUAUGCUUGGACAUUUCUAAGAACUUUUUAUAUAUUCUUCACACCUCUGGCAUUUAUUGCAAAUCUACGUCCUGUUACACAUCAUUACUGCUCACCGUUUAUUAUAGUUCCUACAUGCCAAGCUCUGUGCUGAGCAGCCUCACUAUAACCGCGUGUGAGGAAGCACCAUCCCCAUUUUAUAGAUGGGAAAAUAGAGGCUCCACCACUUAGACAUUUUGGUCACCAACACAAAGCUAGAAACUGUGAAACUAUCUUAGCAUAUUCUGGUUACUUGGGCUAUAACAUUGUGGUUUUUAAUUCUAUAUAAUCAUGUAUGUCCAUAUUGUUUUAUUUUUUUAUAUUGUUUUGAAUUUUUCAUUUCUCUGUAACCACAACUGAUGCUAAACAUGCUUUCGUUGACUUUGCUUAAUAAGGGUAUUGUAAGAAGCCCCAGUGAACAGUUUCCAAUCUCAUUCUAUAGAGGGAUUUUGACAUCUGAGACAUCACUGGAAGUAAACCGCCACCGAGACACAGAGAUUUUUUUCAUCAGAGUUUUAAUUUAGAAGGUUUUUUUUUUUUUUCUGUAACUCAGAUCUACCUUAGAUGAGUAAUAACAUCUUCCAAGAAAGAGAAGAAAAAUGGGGCCCUAACCAGUUGUGCUUUGGUCGGAGAGCAGAAGUGAAAAGGACAUGAAGACUCUGAACUGAUUGUCCCUUGACGCCCCAGUUUAUUCUGGGGCUUGUCGCUACCAAAUGCCAGACUGAAGCGGCCUUGCUUUUAAGUCCAGCAGUGAAUCCCUGCUCUUGGGGGCUGACCCUCCCAUCGCUGACAGCCCAGGCCAAGCGCAGACACCCCCACGGCUCCCGGUCCGGGGGUGCAUCUAUGCUCCUGGGGGCUGACCCUCCCAUCGCUGACAGCCCAGGCCAAGCGCAGACACCCCCACGGCUCCCGAGCUUUGUCUGCUGCUUGCGUUUUGUCAAACUGGGACACAAACCCUGAGACUCGGCCCGUCUCCUCUGUUCCCAGCCCGGCCCGGCUCCUGUCGCCACAUGACCCCUCCUGGGGCGCUGCCCGAGUGUCAGCCGCCGGCCAAGCUCCCCUUUGAGCUUCCUCCCGUAGCCCCGGGGCUGGCAGCUCAGCCCAGCCCAGGUUCUGAGAACCACGGCUCUGCUGCUGAGUCUCCGAGGUGACAAAGGAUUCCUAAAGCACUGGUACUGUCACUUGGGGAUACAGACCCUUUGAUCUACGAAGGCACCACUGCCGCAGCUGCCCUUCUGGGCGAUCCUAACAAAGGAGGUGAUUCCCAUCAAAGAAUCAGUUCCCGCAACUUCUCCCAAGGCGACACCACACUGCUGACAGGUGGUUCCCACCGUCCCUCCCGGAGGCCACGGAGGACCCCGGGGUUUCCCUCGGGUGCCCCCCGCCGCGGCCCUUGCAGUGGGUGCCAGCCUUUGCUUCCUGCCUUACCUCCUGGGAACGCGAGCUGGAGCCUGCAUUUCACCGCCUUUGCUCCGACUUCCCUGCUUUUCCUAAACUCUUGCAUCUGCCGAUUUACGGGCCUGGU
rnacentral:lncRNA from 1 species